rnacentral:rRNA from 1 species
UACGUAGGCAGCGAGCGUUGUUCGGAGUUACUGGGCGUAAAGCGCGUGUAGGCGGCCCAGCAAGUCGGAUGUGAAAGCCCUGGGCUUAACCUAGGAAGUGCAUUCGAAACUGCUGGGCUUGAGUUCUGGAGAGGAAGGCGGAAUUCUCGGUGUAGAGGUGAAAUUCGUAGAUAUCGAGAGGAACACCGGUGGCGAAGGCGGCCUUCUGGACAGUGACUGACGCUGAGACGCGAAAGCGUGGGGAGCAAACAGG